CGGUCAAUUGGUUGUCUGAGACGCAAAGUUUUUUCAAAGUAACAUCAUUGACUUGUGCCCCACUGGAGCUCAAGAACAUAUUCUUCUCAAGACCGUAGGAAGGAGGUAAGUUGAAGAGCUUGCAUCUGGAAGUCAGCAGGUUUCAAUAUCAGGAAGAGCUCAGGGUCACCAAGUCGAUAAUGUUACUUUGUUAAAAACCUAGCUGUCGCGGACCUCGAUCAUUUGUACCG